AACGUUGGACGUUGGCGGCAUCGCCUAACACAUGCCAGUCCGAGCGGUAACAGAUCCAGCUUGCUGGAUGCUGACGAGCGGCGGACGGGUGAGUAAUGCAUAGGAAUCUGCCCGAUAGUGGGGGAUAACCUGGGGAAACCCAGGCUAAUACCGCAUACGUCCUACGGGGGAAAGGGGGCUCCGGCUCCCGCUAUGGGAUGAGCCUAUGUCUGGAUUAUCUAGUUGGUGAGGUAACUGGCUCACCAAGGCCACUGAUCCGUAGCUGGUCUGAGAGGAUGAUCAGCCACAUCGGGACUGAGACACGGCCCGAACUCCUACGGGAGGCAGCAGUGGGGAAUAUUGGACAAUGGGGGAAACCCUGAUCCAGCCAUGCCGCGUGUGUGAAGAAGGCCCUCGGGUUGUAAAGCUCUUUCAGAUGCUAAGAUGAUGACGGUAACAUCAGAAGAAGCCCCGGCUAAUUUCGUGCCAGCAGCCCGCGGUAAUCGAAGGGGGCUAGCCGUUGUUCGGAUUUCUUGGGCGUAAAGGGCACGCAGGCGGUCUUGCCAGUCAGGGGUGAAAGCCCGAGCUCACCUCGGACUGCUUUAUCUGUAAGACUUGAACUAGGAGA
rnacentral:rRNA from 1 species